rnacentral:lncRNA from 1 species
GUGACUUCCAUUACCUAUCAGCCUCACUAAACCGUGGAAACAUGAGUGCCAACCACCAGGAAAGGACUUUGAGAUCCUGAGAGAAAUGACAUUUUGUACCUGUCAUAUUUCCUCGGAGCACGCAUAUCCUAACACCUACCAGAAAUGGCUCUCUGUUCCCCCA